GUUGGUAUAGCUCAGCAGGAGAGUGCGUGCUUAGCAUGCAAAAGGUCCUGGGUUCAAUCCCCAGUACCUCCA
rnacentral:tRNA from 1 species